rnacentral:rRNA from 1 species
UACGUAGGGUGCGAGCGUUGUCCGGAAUUACUGGGCGUAAAGAGCUCGUAGGUGGUUUGUCGCGUUGUCCGUGAAAACUCACAACUCAAUUGUGGGCGUGCGGGCGAUACGGGCAGACUGGAGUACUGCAGGGGAGACUGGAAUUCCUGGUGUAGCGGUGGAAUGCGCAGAUAUCAGGAGGAACACCGGUGGCGAAGGCGGAUCUCUGGGCCUUACCUGACGCUCAGGCACGAAAGCUAGGGGAGCGAACAGG